GUCUUAGUAGCUCAGUUGGCAGAGCGCAUGACUUUUAAUCAUGUGGUCGGGGGUUCAAGUCCCUCCUAAGACACAA
rnacentral:tRNA from 1 species